rnacentral:lncRNA from 1 species
GUAUCUCUCUCUUCUUUAUUUUGAAAAGAAUUUUUGUAAAGAACAAUCCAUUGUAUAAUUAUUGGUUUGUUUCCCAAUUUUGGAUAAUGUAUUGGUAUGCAUCUAUGUUGUAUUUUACUUAAUCAUAUAAACAUUUUUUGGCUCCUUCAUCACAGCAUUUUGCUUGGAUAAUGCAAAUACAUUUAUGUUUGAGCUCACUUAAAAAAACCUUUGUGUUUACCUUUAAUUCAUCCAUAAACUUCAGUGCAGCCAGCAAUGUUUGUUAUAGUGGAUUCAGUAGGUACCGAGAGGAUCAAAUUGUAAACAUUUUAAAACAGCAAUGCCUUAGCACAAAGUGUUGGACAUGCUUUGAAUUCUAUACAAUGAUAUACUGUAUCUCUACAGAACUGUCAGGGUGAAGAAAGGGAGUAUUGCAACAGUUAUAAACAUAUCACAUACAGGCAUUUAUUCAGACAAAUAGAGAUGUUGCUAGGUGUCAUUUUAAACCUCAACUAUUUAUGAUUUUGGUAGAUAGUUGAAAACAGAAUGCAUUUAUACCUCAGAAAUGUAAAAACAACCAACAGUACAUUGUCAAUGGUUAGUGUAUCAGGACUAGCAUAAGCACACGAAACACUGAUAGUUCUCAUUAUUUUUAUUUCAUAUUUAAUCAUUUUAUUCAUAAAUGCUAGAACAGCUAAAAGGAAACUAAGCUUGUUUCAUUGUGAAGGUUUUUAAAAUAUUUUG